UUGAGAUGAUCCAGCAUGUUCUUACGGUAAUGACUAUUCUAGCGUGAUGAUGCGUAGGUGCCCCAUACCUAACUUACAUGGCUAAAUAAACUUUCUUUGCCUGUCAUCAGCAAUCGCGCCGAUGUGGCAAGUCUGUAGAAAAUAUGGUUACUAAACGUUGCGUCGUUCUCCGUUGUUGAUGGCCAGAUGGGCAUUAACAUCAAGGAAGACCAACGGGAGGCAGAAGGUGCACGCCUACUGUCUGAACAGAUGUACGCCGGGUUGGCUGUGAUUUUGGCCAUAUAUCAAAGGACCCCAGCUGUCGCACGUGUUACUGGUCACUGAUUUGAGGUUCUAACAGCCUUGCUCUCCCUCCGUACGUCCCAUACAACCCGCUUGCCUGGAGCCAGGAGCCAUGCCGGGUCCCGAG
rnacentral:lncRNA from 1 species